GCAGAAGGGAGACGAGCUCUUCCUCUUGGUUUCUAGUUACGUGGAGCCCGGACGCACACAUCACGAGCAGACCCUUCACGAAGCUUCCCUGGAGUCCACUCCACGCGUCUACAAAGCCACGGCAGCGUCACCCCUGCUGUGCACCCAAGAUCUCACCCACGAGGCGUGGACACAUCGGUGGAGGCAAACUCUGCCUUCUGACCCUCCCUCCCUCGGGCAGUGAGGAGCCCCGAUGACCCUCACGACCAGGCACAUGGGCCUGCGGGUUCCACGGAGGGUUCAGAAGGCCUGUGGCCACAGGCGAAGCUGGACAUGGCGUUGGGGAGCACACAGCACCGGACCUCAGCUUGGAGUCUCCGGGCUCGCCAUGGGGUGAAGGUUACCCAGGACGGCCAGACCAGGGUCUCCUGGAAGCUGACGGUGACACCAGGGCUUUCCUGCGCUUCUGCUGUGCUCCCCGUCCUUGGUCUGUCUGUUCUGUGGGUCGGUGCAGAUGAGACGUGCUGGGCCGUGGCGGUCCAGUGGGCUUGCCUCGGGUAGCGUGGCUCUGGACGUGCACUUUUAGAAUUUAAGCAGUGUUUCCCUCCUGAUUUUACAAAAUGUUUGUAUCGCGCGAUGCUGGGAAGCCGUCUUACGUGCCUGAAAGCCUUAAUGAGCACAGGGCAGCAGAAGACGGCGUCUGAGGUUCCUGAUUAGGAGCAACGGGCAUGGGACCAGGAGUGAGUCCGUGGCGCCUCUCGUGUGUCCUGCGUCCCUUUUGCUUUCCAAGGUGGAUUUUAUUCUUAAAGCUCUGGGGCUCAGGACAAGGAUGGUGUCUUAACAAACAAACCCACAGACUGUCAGACCACACAGAGCGCGUGCACCUGUGGCUGCGGGCCUGGACACGCCGUGGCCCACACGUGGGACUUCAUCCAACCGCGUCUUCCCUCCAGGAACAUGCCAGGUGAACUCAGGGGCAGAGGCCCAGGGAGCAGCUAGAAGUCCUGUGUCCCAACACCCCCACCCAAAACACAGUGCACACGUGUGCUUCAGCCAGGAGCAGCCACCACCACGCAGAUCCGCUCCAGUGGCGCGAGCAGGGGACAUGCAGCGUGGGGCAGCCGGCUUGGCGCGUCUGUGCUCGCGGUGGCCGAGCUGUGCCCUGCACGCAUCCGCCCGCCUUGGGUCAGGCCAUUUGCCGAGCCCCGAUUUCGGGUCCUUAAAAGCACCGGCAGCGCCGUUCACACGAGCGGUAACCUGCGAACAAGUACAUGGAUAAUCACACGCUCCCACGAAGGUCUCCGUGUUCUCAGACCAAUACAUUUCCUGCUUCAGUGAACCGUCCUGCUGUUAAUGUGUGCGGUCUCACCCCGGGUGAUGGAAAUACUUGCCUCUCGCCGGUGCCCAUUACUAUUGUUUUAGGUCACAUGUAUAAUGCAUGAGAAGAACCUGGUCGUCACACAUUCCAGACAGGCCGUGCAGCGCUGCCUCCGUCGGCCAUGGCCACCCCAGCCAGGGGGAGGGAGAGAGAGCCGGGGUUUGCCUUCGUUUACCCCAAGGGCAGCUUAUGGUGACGUAGCACACGCGUGACGUUCACCCACGGAGCGUGGCGAGUGCGUGGUUUCGGCGCACCCACCGGGGCGUGCGGCUGUCCCUGCACCCUGCUGCCGCGUUCUCAGACCCGUGUCCUUCGGCGAGGCCCCAGGACACAAUCUCCCAGCCCCUGACGACCACCGCUCGCUCUCUGCCCAUGCAUCGUUCCAAGAAACGGAAUCAUGAAACGUGUGAUCCUUCUGCGAGGGACUCCGUGGCUUCGCGUCACGUUUUCCCGUUGGUGUGCGUUGUCACGCCUGCGUGCUUGGUGCCUCCCCUCUGCUGGCGCCGCUCCUUCGGAAGAACACGUUGAAGAAUAAUAACAUGCAUAUAUAGAAGAGUGAGCAAAACAUCAAAGCAUCGGUCAACUGUCCAAAAGUUGAAAUCCAUUUAACUACCACCUAGGUGGGGAGACGAUUCUAGAAAAUGUCUUCAUGGCUUGAGCGCCAUCUUUGUCUUCCUGAAAGGUAAGCGCUCUUGUCCCUCUACAGUCUGUUGUAGUUUCGUGAGGCUUUGAACUUUAUAAGCUGGACUGAGAUAGCGUGCAUUCUGUUUUGUUUGGCUUCUUUGUUCAACUUUGUGAUGACCAGACUCACCUCUGUCACCAAUUCACUAUAGGUCAUUCCCUUUCAAUGCCAUGCAGCAUUCCUCACAUGGGAAGAGCGUGACGUCCCUUUCCGUUCUAUUGAUGGGCAUUUGGGUCAUUCCCCACUGUUUGCCUCUCAGGAAUAUGUAUGGUAGGGUCAGAGCUCACAACCGAGUUACCAGGAGUGACAUACAGGAGGGGACAGGGCUUUGGCCCUCAACACUUGUGCACCUGAGGAAAGGGUGUCAGAAUGUUGCUGCUGCUGUCCUGGAUCCAGAGCCUGCCAUCAGCCGGAUGGUGUGACAUGGGGACCGAAGGAUGAGGGCAACUUCCACGUCCAAUUUGGAAAGCAGAAGGAUAGACUCAGACCCAAAUGGUUUCCCACCAUCUCCAAGCCUCCAACUUUGCCACGCAGAUGACCUUGGAGAAGUGGGACCCUUUGUUGAAGGCUCAGAGGAUGAGAGAGGAGGUCAGCUGGGCUGGUGUCCAGGCUGUCCAGCUGUAGCCAUGGUGACCAAGGGACCUAGCAGCACUGUGGCCUGCCUGACAGAGUCAAAGCAACCCUGAAGACAUGUCUGUCUUCUGCUUAUGGAUUUUGGAGCUCUCUGUGCAUCGCAGGUAUGACCCUUUCAUUCGCGAGUGUGUUGCAAACAUCUUACCGUGUGGCUUACAUUUUCAUGACAUUAAUGGCUGUUUGGCGGACGGUUCUUUGUUUCAUUGUCACUCAAAUUCUCAGGCUUCCUCUUUGCAGACAGAGUUUCAUAUUCUGUUUAGGAUAGCUUUUCCUAUUCCGAGAUAAUGGGGUUUUUAAAAUACAAUCUUUUAGAGGUUUUUAUUCUUUGCAUUUUUGUAUUUAUAUCUCGAAUCCCUGGGAAAUCGUGUGGUGUGAGGCAGGGCUCUGUGUUGUUUUUCCGCCUGGAGACAUGAAUGGCCAGACCCCCUGCUGGCUUUGUCGAUCACUCUUCAGCAUCACACUCGUCAAUAAUCAAUGCCUGUUUAUGGGUGGGCCUGUCUCUCAGUCCUUCUUCUGAUCUACUGCUCUGUCUGCCUUUCUUGUUUUUAACAUCACAUUGUCUUCAUUACUGUCUUUGGAUAAGAUGAUCUCUUCCAGAGCAGGUCUUUUCGCCUUGUUCAUAGCCUUGAGUGUCCAUGUAUGUUUUAGAAUGGAUUUGUUGUCUUCAAUUCUCCAUUUAGACUUUAAUUGGGGUUGCAUUGAACUUAGAGCAACUUGAGGAAUUUGAGAAUUGACAUCUUCGUGUAGGGAGUUUCCCCAUCCACUAAGUGGGUGUAUCUCCUCAUUUACUUCGUUCUGUAAUUUUUUCUAGUAAUGGCUUGUUGGUGCCUUUCCUGGUGAAUGUAAGAGUGUGCACAUGUGCAGAGGUAGAGAGCAUGAAUUUACUAGAUUUAUUUCUAAUCCUAGGUAGCUGCGAAGCAUUUGGUACAUUUGAUGCUAAUAUAAAUAGUGGUUUUUUUUUUUUUAACUAAGCUGAAUCUUAGUCAAUGUUCCCCAUGUACCAGAAAAUAAGGUGUAGUUUACAGUUGUUGUACAAGUGAAAUUUGUUGUCUUGUUCUAAUGUGUAAAAAGAAUCUACCUCCUCCAUGUUUUAACCAUUCUUCCUCUCAGUUAUUGAACAGGAAGAACUCACAUCUAUUAUAAUUAUGGGUUUGUUCGUGUGUUUGCUGGUAACAACUUCUCCUGGUUUUUGCUUACCUGGGAACGUCUCUAUUAUAGCACCUUCCUGAUGCUUCUCUGUGCUGGGUACAGAUGUCCGGGGGCCAGUCUAUCUUUUAGCAAUUUGAAAAUAUCUUUUCACUGUCUUCUGGUUUUAAUUGUUUGUUUUGAGGAGUUAGCUGUCAUUCUAAUGCUUCUUCCUUUGGAUACAAUAUGCCUCUGUUUCUCUUACUGCUUUUAAGAUUUUCUCUCUUUUUAAAAAGCAA